rnacentral:lncRNA from 1 species
AGACACAGAAUGGGGAGCUAAGAGAGAGACAAAAACAUGCCUACGCAAACACAGCCCCGAGACAGACUGUGGAACGCAGGAUCAUGGAAUAAACCAGGAAAGUGGCAAUUAUUCUGUCAUCUGAUGACUCCCGAGGAUCACUUUUGUUGCCCUCAUACCUCUGAACUUGCAUUCCUCUCUGACUAGAUACCAGCCUGAGCCCUGCUGAGGCAUUGUGAAUCCCCAGCUAACAGACUUCCGGGUGCUGGACUCUUCACCCUGGAACAAAGUUCCAGAGACUGGUUGGCUCAUAGAGAAUAAUUGUUUUGGCUCAUGUUUUUGAAGACUGGAAAAUCCCAGAGCUUGGAGCUGGCCUCUGUAAGGAACCUGGGGAAAGUGGGCAUGGUGAGAAGAAGGAGAUCAUAAAGAAUGGCCUAGCUGUAACAAACUGAAUAAACUCACCCUUCCUAGCUCUUCUGAACUCUGCCUGGCUGGCUGGUCAACUACAGCCGUUCUGGCUCAAAACUCCUCUCCACACGAACUGACUCAGUCUGGCUUCUGUCUCUCAGCCUGCCUUGAAUUGCCCUGCUUUGCCUCACACUAUUGCAAUAUAUUCUAAUCUUCUGGCUCCUUUCAUUCUUUGGCUCUUUCUGUCUUCACGUGCACCUAGCUUGUUCUCUCUCUGUAACCCGUCUCUGUACAACUGUUUUGAUAAAACUGCCUCCGGUCUCUCUGUACUGCUCUCUCUUAAGUAGCUUCCCUUUCUUCUCUUGUGAGAGUUGGGCACAGCCAAUUCUGUCAAAUCUUUCUUGGAUUCAUCACUUUGUCUGCCAUUCAGUUAGACAUGGAUUUAAAAAAUGGGUGCUUCUUUCUACAAACUAAAUUUGUCUUCAUUGUUUGGGGUUAAAAGUGUGUACUAAGGGCUUGUCUGUACUUCAGCCAGAGAAAUUAAAGGUGUGUAUGCUAAGGGCACACACAACACAACU